GGAAGACCCCCAGACUUUAAACAAAAGAGUACAGUUUGGGAUUACAGGCAGCAGUGACUUCUAUUAUUCAGGUUCCAUUUUUUACCAGCUAUUGGAAAGCUAGGAAUAUACUCCUACUUUAUGACCUUUCUACAGUAUUUUCCACUGGGACAUUAACGAAAAACUGAAAGGGCUUGACCUACAUCUGACACAUAGCUUCAACUGCUCAUGAAUUCAGUGGACGCUGCAGCAGACAUUGUAGAGGAUUCAUUUUAUGCAUUUGUAGAAAAAAAUCUGAUGGUGGCUGUCUUGGUAAGGAGCUUGUCUCUGUUCUACAGAAUCCUACUGGUUUCAGAAGUGGAAAAGAUAUGGCUGAGUGGAACAGAAAGCGCUGCUACUAAUGGGGGGUUGUCUCAAGGUUUGUCUUGUUUUAAGCCACUGCCUGAGCAAACAGCAUGAACAUUUUACUCUUCUACCAGCUAAUUAGAAAUGGACACUUCUUAAACAAGUGCCCAUCCUCUAACAAGCUAGCACUAAUCUGACCCUCGAAUGAGAGGUGGUAAAAAG